AAACAAAGUUAUUUCCAACAACAACGACCGACGGUGAUGGCGACGCAUGGUUGAAGGAUUGCAAUGUUCGGGUUUUUUACAUAUCAUAAAACUUCGAUUCGCGAUCCUCUGCCUGGUUUGCUUAGAAACAAAGUUAUUUCCAACAACAACGCACAGUGUUCGGGGUAAGUGAUUUGUUUUGAAAGCAUUGUUGUUUUUUCGAGAAACUGUUUUUCAGUUGAAUUCCAUUGUUCAUAGUGUCAACAAGUGAGUAAAGCUUAAAAUUAUUAAAAAGAGUUUAGAAAAUAAAUUAUAAGCGUAAAAAAGUGAAUAUUUAGGUAAAUUGGUAGGUAAUUGUGUUCAAAUGGACAAGGAAAAUAUUCAGGCUUCCGGAUCUAAACAGUCGGCAAUGGACUCCAUUGAAUUUUCACCCACAAAGCAGCCAAGGCGGAUUUUUAAGAAAACGAAUCAACAAGAUAUGAUAGACGAAAUGAGAGCGGACAUUAAACGUUUGUGUGUCACCACGGAGCAGGUAAAAAAUGGGAUCUUCACAUUGGCAGCAUUUUUUUCAAUAAAAUCAUAAAAAUUUA